AGUCUCUCAAAUGAGAAACUC
rnacentral:snRNA from 1 species